rnacentral:lncRNA from 1 species
CUCUUUCUGCCAUGUGAGGAUAAGAAGUCAGCAGUCUGCAACCCAGAAGAGGGCCCUAACCAGAAGGUUGUUGUGGCCCUGAUCUGACUUCCAGCCUCCAGAACUAUAAGAAGUCAAUGUCUGUUGUUUACAAGCCACUCUGUCUUGACUUUUGUUACAGGAGCCCAAAUUAACUAAGACAACCCUAUCUGAGACUGGGCACAGUGGCUCACGCCUGUAAUCCCAGCACUUUGGGAGGCUGAGGCAGGCAGAUCUACAAGGUCAGGAGUUUGAGACCAGCCUGGCCAACAUGGUGAAACCCCAUCUCUACUAAAAAUACAAAAAUUAGCCAGGCACAGUGGUGCACGCCUGUAAUCCCAGCUACUCAGGAGGCUGAGUCAGGAUAAUUGCUUGAACCUGGGAAGCAGAGGCUACAGUGAGCCAAGAUUGUGACACUGCACUCCAGCCUGGGCAACAGAGCAAGACUCUGUCUCAAAAAAAAAAAAAAACCCAUCUGGAGAAAACUAAAAAGCUCAGUCUUUCCCCUGGGCCCAGAAUGCCCUUCUUCCCCUGCCCUAGGAAAGCCCAGUCACCUCUGAGGAGGCAGCAACAUCCUGGCUCCUCCCACUUGCUUUCAGUGCAUCCCCACGUCCAUUCUCUCAUGGAACCCUGUGCACAUCUCUAUCUGAGCUCCUGUAAGACUGUGUUCUGCUAGCUCAUGUGUUCAUCAUCUCCGUGUUGACUGUAAACUUCACUUUGUACCUUGUCCCCCAGAAUCCAGCACCGAAUCUGGCACACUGAAUGAAUGAAUGAGUGAAUCAAAGAAUGAGUGGGCAAGUGUUGAUCCCAAGCACAUUCCUCGUAAAUCUCCUGCAUACAAAUCUCCAUCUCAGAGCUAGCUUCUGGGAACCCUCAUGCUACAAGUCAUUAGGAACAUGGAUUUUGGACACUUCUAACAAGCCUGAGUUUUAGUCCUGGCUCUUGUACUUACUUGUACUGUAACCUAGAGAAAAAUUACCUAACUUCUCAGAGGCUUCAUCUGCAAUAGAAACGAAUUCAUUGAGUCGUGGGAGUUCAAUGAAAUGUUGUUUGAAGCACAUUUAGCACAGCACCUGGUACACUGAUAAGUGCUCACUAAAGGAUUACUUGUAUCAUCAUCAAUAUUGCAUGGUCCAAGGCACAUGGCAAGGCUAUGGAACACACAGAAGCCAACUAGAUUGGCUACAAGGCCAGCCUCAAGAGAGGAAGAAACAGAUAUAUAUAAAAAAAUACAGGGGUGGAGGAGCCAAGAUGGCCGAAUAGGAACAGCUCCGGUCUAUAGCUCCCAGCGUGAGCGACGCAGAAGACGGGUGAUUUCUGCAUUUCCAUGUGAGAUGUUGCACCUGAGGCCCAGAGAGACGUUCAGCAACUUACCCAGCAUCACCCAGUCCACAAGUGAAACACCCCUUCAUUUCAGAAGUGAAUACUCCAGAGGGUCUCACUCUGUCACCCAGGCUGAAGUGCAGUGACAGGACCACGGCUCGUUGCAUCUUUGACCUCCUGGGCUCAGCCUCCAGAUUAACUGGGUCUCACUCUGUCACCAAGGCUGGAAUUCAGCGGCACAAUCUCAGCUCACUACAACCUCUGCCACUGGGAUUCAAACGAUUAUCCUGCCUCAGCCUCCCGAGUAGCUGAGAUUACAGGUGCACACCACCACAUCUGGCUAAUUUUUGUAUUUUUAGUAAAGAUGAGGUUACACCA